UACGUAGGGGGCAAGCGUUGUCCGGAUUUAUUGGGCGUAAAGAGCGUGUAGGCGGCCAGGUAGGUCCGUUGUGAAAACUCGAGGCUCAACCUCGAGACGCCGGUGGAAACCAUCUAGCUAGAGUCCGGAAGAGGAGAGUGGAAUUCCUGGUGUAGCGGUGAAAUGCGCAGAUAUCAGGAAGAACACCCGUGGCGAAGGCGGCUCUCUGGGACGUGACUGACGCUGAGACGCGAAAGCGUGGGGAGCGAACAGG
rnacentral:rRNA from 1 species